AGGCUGAGGCAGGAGAACCGCUUGAACCCAGGAGGCGGAGGUUGCAAUUCAAAUCAUGUGGGGGGAGGAUCUUUAUAAAAUGAAUUAUGCUACACCGACCAAAUGACCUGGCAGUUCUACUCCUGAGUAUUUACUCAACAGAAAUGUAUCCAUAAAAAUACUUGCAGGCCGGGUGCGGUGGCUCACACCUGUAAUCCCAGCCCUUUGGGAGGCCGAGAUGGGGAAGCCCAUGUAUAGUUACAGAAAGCAGAUGAGUGGGCCCCUAGGAUGUCUGUGACCCACACCUAUUCGCACACUCCCUCCCCUUUUGAAAGUCCCUAAUAAAAACUUGCUGGUUUUGUGGCUUGGGGGGCAUCACAAAACCUACUAACAUGUGAUGUCUCCCCCGGACGCCCAGCAGAUAUCCACGUCCUCACCUUGUAACCUGUGACUGUGCCACCUUCGAGUGGCGAGAGAGAUGACAUUGCUGGCUUCAAAGAUGGAGGAAGGAGCCACGAGGCAAGAUACAAAGGCGGCCUCUAGAAACCAAAAGAGCAGGGAUGAGACUCUUCCCAGGAGCCUCCAGAGGGAAGUAAUCCUGAGAUGGAUGGGAUGGAUGUAACUAAGCAACACAGAAAUUCUAGAACAAGUCCCUUGCAGGGAAGGCUUGGCUUACACUUCACAGCCCCAAAAACCUAUCUGGAGUUAUCCAUAGAUGCAUUUGGUGAUUUCAUAAAAUGUUUGUUCUUGUUUUCUGUAUAAGUAUACUUUGAUCAAAAUGUGAAUAAUUAAAUCUUUUGGGAUAGAACUCAAAAACAUGUCAAAGGUACUAACAUAUUAAAAUAGAGCUGUAAAGCAAAAUAUAAGCAGGUCUUGGCCACUGACACAUGUGUCUAUGUAUGCUAAUUGGAAGCUCCCCAAUACAUGUCUAUGACAAAACUUUUACACAACCAAUCAACAUUUGACAUUUUUUACAUCUUCUUGUGCGGCUUUCUGAAGUCCCUGUUUAAUUUCCAUAUUUUACAAUAUGCAAGCGGAGUUUCCACUGUGCCACUCCCAGGCACUUCUGAACACGGUGCUCUCAUCUCAGGCCACCAGAACACUGCUGAAAGUGCCGGUGUUUUAGAAACAAUUUGAAGAACCAUCCCACCCCUUUAGAGGUAGACAACACUUUAGGAAGCUAUUCCUUGAGACUUUAGAAAUGUUCUUUUUGCCUACAAAAACACAUUUUUUUUCUUACUGAGGAACUUUAAUUGGGUACUAUUCAAUUUUAUGUUCUACUUCACCUAAUCUACUCUGUAUGACAGGGUACUCGAUAUAUGAGCUAUUGAACAGGUACUAUAUCUCUGCUAUCAUGUAACAACUAACCAGAAAGAGCCCAUCUUUUUCUGUUUAAAUAAUGUUAAAAUGUUUUAAAAGAAGAGAAUAUUCAUGAAAGCUUCCAGGUUACUCAUGCAUUUACUGUAGUCCAUUUAUAUAAGAAUUUUAUUAUCAUAGGGUUUGACUUCCUGCUUAAACAAGUCACUCAAUUUUCAUUAUUUAUAACUCUUCUGAUACGACUCUUCUUUCAGCCAUGCGGGAACCACAUCCUUACACUCACCUGAUGCUCUGACAUUUGACCUGAGACUUGCCGCAUGUGCCACCAUGCCCAGCUAAUUUUGUAUUUUUUUUUAGUAGAGACGAGGUUUCUCCACGUUGGUCAGGCUGAUCUUGAACUCCCGAUCUCAGGUGAUCCGCCCACCUCGGCCUCCCAAAAUGCUGGGAUUAAAGUCCCCAGCAUCAGUUGUGCCACCUGCCUGCUGUGGCUGUCUCCCAGCCCUGAGCCACGCCCUACCUCUGCUGCCAGGCUCCACUGGAGAAGACAGCCUGGCACCACUGGGGCUCCUGUCUGAUGUCAAAAGUCACAAAAUGAGGAGGAACCUGGAAUACCAGGUACACAGGAAUGGCAAAGUGAACAAAAUGGUUUUUGUUCUUUUCCCAAAGGGUCCAGUUCAGUUCCAAGCAUUUCAGGCCCUGCAACCCGGUCCUACAGAGUUCUCUAAGAAGGACUAAGAAUAAAUAAAUAUUCUUUCCUGACACCGGCACAGCCAGAGGAAGGCAUUAACUGCCUUCUGAAACAUUAACUGAGCACUGCUGUUGUUGCCCAGGCUGGUCUUGAACUCCUGGGCUGAAGUGAUCUGUCCCAGCUGCUGGGGAGGCUGAGGAAGGAGAAUGGCAUCUAACACGGUGAAACCCAGUCUCUACUAAAAAUACAAAAAAAAUUAGCCGGGCGUGGUGGCGGGCGCCGGUAGUCCCAGCUACUCGGGAGGCUGAGGCAGGAGAAUGGCAUGGACCCGGGAGGUGGAGUUUGCGGUGAGCCGAGAUCGCGCCACUGCACUCCAGCCUGGGCGACAGAGCGAGACUCCGUCCCCCUCAAAAAAGAAAAAAAAAGAACUCCCUUUUUAGAAAGAUCUUUUAUUCAACUUACCAAAAUUUUAAUUGCCAAUGACACAGAAACCAGCACAAAUAAGAACUUGUAACUUACCCAGGUACAAGUGAAUUUCUAUGACUGAAAUUCAGGGGCAUUCUAAGCAAGAAUAGUUCAAUAGAAACUAAUCUCAUUAUUUUUCAUUUUUAUGAAGUCAUAUUUAUUAUUCGUAGUGUGGUUUCUCAUCAAGGAGUUAUUUAACAUGCCAAAUGCCUGCACCUCUUUAACUAGGUCUUUAUGCAUAGGGAAUGUUUAAAUAUCCACAAAAGUAAUACAUACUAACCAAUUUUUUAGAUUUUAACAUAUAUAUUUGAAGAUACGUUUUCCCCAAAUGUACAGUUCUUUGUGGCCUGGAUUGCCUCAGGAAACUGCCUCUGCCUUUUGUGGGUAUUAUGGCAAGCAAGGGCACUGGUAAUUUACUGCUGAGAAAAUGCCUAGCCGUUUGCCUGAUUAUGCCACGUCAUCUUCCUGACACUACAGAGCACGGUAACCUCAUUUCCAAAAUCAAAGAACAAAUCUGAACGGCUACUGUUCCUGAGGCAAACAAGUGAAUAAAUUCCAAAACAUGCCAUGGACUAAUUGAAGAUGAAUUUCAGACAAUUCUUUUUUUUUUUUUUUUAGAUGGAGUCUCGCACUGUCGCCCAGGCGGGAGUGCAGUGGCGCGAUCUCCGCUCACUGCAAGCUCCGCCUCCCGGGUUCACGCCAUUCUUCUGCCUCAGCCUUCCGAGUGGCUGGGGCUACAGGCACCCACCACCACUCCCGGCUAAUUUUUUCGUAUUUUUAGUAGAGACGGGGUUUCACCAUGUUAGCCAGGAUGGUCUCGAUCUCCUAACAUUGUGAUCUGCCCUCCUCAGCCUCCCAAAGUGCUGGGAGUACAGGCGUGAGGCCCUGCGCCCGGCUGGAUUUUAGACAAUUCUAUGUCGUCUGUUGAAUCUAUCAUCUGUUGAAUCAGCUUUCUAGUAACCACACACUAUAGAAGUGAAACCAACCUGUACUACCAAGAGUGUAUUAAUUUUGCAUGCAUUUCCUAGUAAACAAUGUAGACAGUAUUAAUUUUUAUGUUGCCAAGGUCAUAGUUUUGUCCCUCAAGUCAUCUGCUAAAUUUUGCCUCACCUGGCUCAGUCAGAAGGAACAGAAUUGACAAUAUUAACUGGUCUCAGUUAUCUCCACUGACAUAAAAAAAAACGUGUAUUUUCCACACGGACUGUGGGAAUCAGCAUUUUCUGUUAUUAACUUAGAUUUUUUUCUUGCCAUUUCUCUUUAUGAUCCCAAUGUAUUGAUGUAUUUCUAACACUACAACAAGAUUUGUGUCACUCAACUGUAUGUGUUGUAAUCAUUAUCUUUUAACCAUUUAUCUCCAUGAAACUGAUGUCAUUGAAAGAUAGAAAAGAGAAACAAAAAGCAUAGAAGGGAGAGAGGGAGGGAGCAAGACUUUAGUCAUGAUACAAUGCCAAUGUAAGGGCUCCUUUUAAGAAAGAUUUUAAAAAAUUUCUUCUUCAAAAUUUCCAUUGCCUCCUUGAAUGAACUGUGAAGGAUUGCAAAUUCCUUUAAAACUUGGUUUUGGCAAUGACUCUGGAUUUCCUUCAUUAGCCAGCUAUGCAGAAUUCAUUUUCCAAUGCUCUAUUAAAAAUAAAAGGCCGGGCAUGGUGGCUCUCGCUUGUAAUCCCAGCACUUUGGGAGGCUGAGGCGGGCGGAUCACAAGGU
rnacentral:lncRNA from 10 species